AAAGACUAAAAUACACUUGGAGUGCUGCAAUGUCACCACGGCUUCCGGCCCUGCCCUGGGAUCUGCCAGCAACACAGAAGAGAAGAAGCAUUUUUUUGGUAGAGGUUUAGUUUCCGAAACAUCAAGCAAUUGCCACAAAGCUUUUCUCUGAGUAAUGGUCUUGUCCUUUUAGAUUUGGGAGACUAUCUGACACUGUCUGCAUUGGCUGAAGAUUAAAGGGUAAAGGGAGACUGUGGGUCUGGAUGGAGUUUCCUUCCACUCUGUCCUGGCAAAAUGAAGCAAGACAGACGUGUGUCCUGCCCUGAGCAGUUCGUGGCUGAGCCCAUGCUCACUGCCUGCAGUGUGAGGAAGCAGCCCAGUGGGAGCACUGGGAGAAUGCUGAUGGAAAGGCUGCGGAGCACCGUGGGAUUGAUUCCCUGGAGAGGACUGCCAUCUUCUGCGGGGCUUAAAAGAUGGGUCAGUUUAGAAUAGUGUGGGUGUAGCUGGCCCUAGGGACAAAGGUGUGCUAGACUCCAGAAACGGCCGUCUGAGGUCCUUCCCAAGCUUUUGGCCCUCAUGAAUCCCAACCAACCUCCCUCUUGCAUGGUGUCCCAUGAAGAAAUCAUAUUCUCCAUGUCCUCAGACUCUGGUUCUACUGGGAGCUGUGUAUUAAUCCCAGCAGUCACAUCCUCUCUUCUAUUUAUUUGGACAACAGGCAGCAGUGAAGCUCAAAAAGUUGGGGAGAUGGGCAUGUAAAAAGCCAGACAUGCUUUAUACCCAAAGGUCAGACAGAAUCAAUAUGUUCCCACAGAGCAUAUUGCAUCUAAUCAGUGUUUUCUGGUGGAAAAUUUCUGACAAGCCUGAAACCUAAGGCUGGAUUUAUUUGCAAAUGCCUGGUGAGUGAUAAGCAGGUGAUUUAGUACAACAUUUAUUUUGCACUGGAAAAAGAAAUAUAUUAAGAUGAGAAGAAUGCUCCUUGGUGAUGGAUAAGCUAUGUGACAUUGCUUAGAGCCACAUCAGCAUUCAGUAGGGAAUCAGGUGAUGGUAGAAUGGAAAUUCCUGAAAAAGCUUUUUCUGAAGGCAAAGGUGACCUCUUUUCAGCAGCGUGGUGUGGCGUGGGCAGCUGCUGUGACUGCAAGGCAAGUUUCUUUAUUGAAGGAGGAAGAAUCCAUACGUAUCACCAGGGAUAAUUUUAAAUGCACAGGAAUUCUCAUGUAGUAUGAGAUACUACUUUGCUGUUUCCUGAGACAUAUGCCCAGAUAGCAUUUUCUCUAGAGAAAACAAGGGAGAACGUUACAUGCUAGAUGUUUUCUUAAACAGACUUGCUAAAUAAGAUCAUUGUAAUCGGUCUGGAUUCAAAACAGCUUCACUUGUUGUGUCAGGGAUUACUACUCUCCCGACACUCAAUAAAAGGUGCAGGUCUUAAAAGCAUCUGAUGAUUUUUAUUUAUUUGUUUUAUUGAUAUUCUGAAUGGAAACAGUCUCCUCUCUUGAAAGGAAACCAAAUGAAACCAGGAGUUGGGUGCUGCAAUGCUCUGCUGAGAGCAGGGAUGCAAGAGAACAGAGUGGUGUCACCUCUACAGCAAGGCUGGAGGAGUGAACACAGUUCUGCUUUCCACGUCUUGGAGAGGAAGCUGUAAAACUGGAAAGGAUGCCAGAAAGAGCCAUAGUAAUGACAUGAGCACAGGAAAAUGUACCUUAUGGUUUGAGAUUCAUGAAGUUCCAUCUGUUUAACUUAUCAGAAAGAGAUUGCAGCUUAAAAUGGAUCACAGGGUUUACAUACUUCUGUGUAGAAUAAAUACUAGGUAAAAGGGUACUGUGUGAUUCCCACAGAGGUGGUUGUGUAAAUAUUGCACUGGUGAUGGUUAACCAACCCAUGGAAUUAACCCUGUGAGGCUGAGGCUGGAGGCACAGGUGUUAUUCCUGUGGUUUGUCUUCCACACUCCUCUGUCCACCACACCAUUGGUAAAAGGACAUCCUUUAUCUGAAGCUCCAACAGGACUUUUAAUCGGAAUAAUGCGCUCCAGAAUAGCUUCUCAUUUAUGCUUCCUGCUUUCCUUUAUUUUUUAAAAAACUUUUCAUUCUAAAAGAGAAGGCAAAAAGGGCAGAGAAGAACAUGGAAAUGAGUUGUACUACUCAUUUCCUGGUUUUGUUUAAAAAAAAAAAAUUAAAAAAAAUUUGGAAAGCUUUCAAAGUUCUUGGAGUCCUACUGGUGAAAAUACCGACUUUUACAAUCAGACCAGUAGUUGGGCUUGGGGGAGAAGUCCUGCACUCCCUCCAGCCAGUUCUCAUAGCCAUGUGAAAGGAUUCUGUUAUCUUUCUUAAGCUAAUGUUAAUCUAUUGUAUUAGCCGAUAAUAUGCUAAUAAAAUAAGGAUGGAAUAUUACCUCCUUCCUAGAGGAGGAAGUGGAGCAAGCUUGAGUGACAUGGCAAAGGAGCUUGUGGGUAGCAAAUCCAUUGCUUGUUUCCUCUUCCAGAGCACCCAUCCUACAACAAAGAGUUGGGGAUGGAGGGGAGAGAAGGGAUCCUUGGAACAGCCCCACAUUCUGCAGGGAAAGGAAUGGAUGGGGCAGGGAGAGCAGUCAGACCCACAGCUGGGCUUUGGGGUUCCCCUUCAGCCACAUGGGAGCAGUGCUGUGUGUGCACAUCGUGGCAUCAGGAGGCACACUGUCAGCUGCAGUUUGGUGAUUGUUCUGGGUCCCUUGUCCCUCCAGAUCUUCAGGGAAAGACCUUAUUUACACUUUGACAUUUUCUUUGCUAGAGGAUUGUUCUUAAAAUGCUGUGGUUUGUGGAUAAAAUAUUGUUUAUGUAUAAAAUACCACUGAAGUUCAGUUGGGUCCUGAGCUGACCUUGCCUAGCACUCCAAUCUUUCAGCUUUCAUUUGAUCUGCCUCCGAGUGUAAAACAUGCUGCUCCUCCUCCAUGCAUUACGGAGAGCUUGCUCCCCAGUACAUACCUAAUUUGUAGCUAAUAUUCUCAUUGCGGCUACUUUAAUAAGAGUACAGAUUUUUUUCUAAAUGAGAUGCAUAUGUGGCUCCUAAACUGGCAUUUUUUGUCUCGGCUUAAACUUUUUCAUUCAAGAUGCCACAUCAUACUUAAUUUUCUAUACUCUUUCUAUUGAUUUCAUUCCUAGCCUACAUCAAAAUAAUGCCAAAAAGGCAACUGGUACCUACCCUGAAGAGAAGGAGCAGAAGCCAUCUACCUACACUGCUCUAUUGACCUUUUGCUUUUUGGGUAACACUUUUGGGUUGGGGAAUAAUACUAUCUAAAUGAUGCUUUUUCUAAGGAUGGGAGUCCUGGCAAUUCUUCUCCCUUGCUUUUCUCCUAGAAAGCAUCUCUUGCAUGGGACACAGAGCUAUGAGGUGGAAUCAGCUCCUUCCAGAACAGGCCUGAAGCUCAGAAGAUGACUGUUGCAUUCUUGCAAAGCCGCAGACACUGAGUACAAUAAGGACACACUGCUGGGAUGAGAGCAAGCUUACGAUGCUGAGGGAUCUCCUGGGUUCGGCUGGAGCAGAAAUACCUCGUGGUUUCUCUACAUCUGGGGGGAAUUACAUUUACGCCCUGGUGGAAGCAGAGAGAAAAAGCAGAUAUGCCACAGGUUGGAUUUUAAAGGAGACAAGAGGGAAGUGAAGCACACAUCUGAGCAUGGUGCCCAUGCAUGGGAACCACGAGUGGGGCAGGGGAGCAAAGAUUUGCAUAACAUUAUGUCAAAAGCCCAUUGAGGAUAUAUUACACGGAAAUUUUGUAAAAACGGGUUCAUUCUCAGGCUGUGAAGAGGAGCUGGGCUCAGAGCAAGGCUUUACAAAGCUGCCAAAGGCCAGACAACACCCAGAGGUUCUGCUUGCUCCCAGAAGACAAUGGGAAGGCACUGAAGAUUUAAUAGAUCUAUCACUACAGGACAUAGAGCAGAUGCAAGAUAGGUUCUUCAGUGCAAGAAGAGUGGUUGAAGAAAAGCAACUGUGAUUCAUAAGCUCAUGGAAGGGGCAGGGCUGGUGCUAAGUGCCCAGCAUGGCAAGGCCAUACAUGAUACAACAGCUGUAAACACAAACGUCAUGGAGCAUGCCUUGUUAUCCUCAACUCCCACCUCUCAACAUGGAUAGAAAUUUAUAUUUGGGAAAGUUUUUCACUUUUGAAUAGUGACCAAUAAACAUUUUCUUGGAAUUCUGCCUUUCAGCAGAUGAACAAUAACUUUAACUUUUUUAACAGCCUUCAUCACGCUGAGAACAUUGAUAGUAACAGCUAUAUAUUUUUUUUAUAGCAGGUUGUAAGGGAAAUGAAAGUUACUUGCUGUGUCAAAUGAAGGUCGCCCUGACCACUGCUUCUUCCAGGGAAACUCUAAUGGAACUGCUGCUGUAGCUCAACUUUGAGUAGCAUUGUUAAUGAGCAAGGGGAAAAAUAGUCUUAAAAAUCCAGUGUACAAAAAUAUCUGCAAAGUCCAAAUAAAAAUCAAUAGCACAGCAUGAAAAAUGGCAUAGGAAGUAAAAUAGCUCGUCUGCUGGCUCAUUUAGAAAUACUUUGCCCUGACCUGAAACUUCAGCUAAGGGAAAUACAGAUUUUGUAUUCAUUGUUCUAAUGAGCUCCAGCCUCGCUGAAGAACACCCAGCUCCUCUACUUUUGCCUUUUGUUUUCUCUCCUCCCUGCCUGGUUUAACCUGGGCCAGUGGCAUGACACAAGUGAGAUAUUUGGUCAGAAAGCGUUUUGCUGCUAUAAGCAUGGUGCAAGCACCUUCUAAAGCAGCUCCAGCAAGUGAAGCUGAGCUGGGGUGGGUGCUCACAUUAACACUCAUGAAAGAUUUUAGGGUAGUUUCCCUUCCCCUUGUACAUGCAAACUUACAAGCCAGAACUCUGUGGUUUGUGCCUAAGUUUGUUAUGAAAACGUGCAUAUAUGCAGCCUGAGUCAGAGCUGGGUUCCCUAGCUGAAGAUAAGCUUUCUGCACUGACUUCUCUUCCAAUCCCACCAGCUGGGCACAGUGCUGAUAAAACAUCCUCGGCUAUAGGAGGUUCUCAUGAGUGCCCAAUGCCCACAGGUGCUCUCCAGCCUGCUAAGAGGGUUUUAAAUGGGAGAAACAAAUACACCUAAAUUAUAUGCAUGCCCCCAGUGGGAGGAAGCUGACCUGUGGAGGAGGAGGAGGAGUGUCCAGUACCGAGAGCACCAUCUCAGCACAGUGGCAGGAUUCAUCCCAGGAGAGAGUGGUGCACAGCAGUCAACAGCUCUGGCAGUGCUGCAGCUGAAUAAGCAUGAGCCUGGGGUGCUUCCUAAUCUCUGUAGUGAUUUCAGCAAAAACGUAUGACUUACCAACACCAGGCUUCAGCUUCUCUGUGUGUAAUGACUUCAAACAAUGUGGGUUUGCAGGAGGCUUCAACAAAGCAGAGCUUGCCACUACUCACAGCAGAAUUUCUGUCACCGGGAGAAGUUGUUAUAUUCACACAGGGAGAGACAUUAGCUUAAAGGUUGGUGUUUUUGUUUGUUUGCAAGUCAAGGGUGGAAAUUUUCAAAGCAGCGCAACGGACCGAAUUAACUGUCUCCCAUUACUGGAAUGUGAAUGUGAAGUUGCUGAAAGCAGCUGAAGUACUGAGAGUUGGGAAAUCUGCAGUCCAUUGGCUGCACUAACACUGAGAAACAUCUGCACCGCCGGUCCUCUCUGUCCUGCUGGCUGCUCUUAAUAAUUUAGAGCUAACAUUAGGAACCCUUGUUUUUUUGUGUGCGUUGUUUUUUCUUUCUCUUACAUGAGCAUUUUGCCAGUGAUUUGUACAGACAUGUUAAUGGUUCAGAGUGAAUUUUAGAAUGCAAGAUAUCCUUCUGGUGAUUUUUCAGAUUCUAGUGAUGCUUUGUGAAGAUUACAAAAUAGUCUUGCUAUUUCAUCAGUCAGUCAGUGUAAAAUGCUCCUUGUGAUUACAUCGAAUGCAGAUGAAACGUUUUCUCAAGCAGUCCAAGAUAUUAACAAGUGCAAUGUAAUUGCGCAUUAAACAUAAAGUACUGAGAAGUGCAAUGUAGUGCCAAAGUCAGUUUGCAUGCUUGAUGGCUACAGUAGAUGGCAGGGGAUAGGUCUGCACAUAGGGACUUUGAGAUAUUCUUUCUCCAAGCAAAGAUCAAGCAUGUAGAAAAUUAUCUUUUUGUUUCUGAUUAUAACAACUUGUAUUACGUACUUACAGACUUUGUGCAUUGGAAACUGAAAUCAUUUGUCAUAGACUGAAACACGUGCAAUGAAUAACAAAUGCAUGCAUCUCAAAGUAACAUGAUGUUCUGUAAUUUAUGAAAUGUUUCUAAUAAAUCACAUAGGGCUGCAUAUCAUCCAUUAGAGGGCAGGAUCCUCAGAGUUUUUAAUCCAGAAUUGGGCACUUAUUUUCUUUUUUGCUUCGAAUAAGCCAUUUUCCAUCAAGUUAUUUUCUCUGUUUUACCUCCCUGACCAUAGUGCUGUAAGGCCACUCAGGGGUGGUAUGUGCACUUAAUUAGGGAAGAAAGGUUUCGCAGAAGAUGGGUGCUAGGGGAAGCUGUUUGUUCAGUAUUUAUCAGAGCCUGGUGAUGCCAACACUGCAAUGCUUUGAGUGUAUCUCCUACAUCACUUACUGGUUUGGAAGUGUGUUACAUCUGUUAGGAGACUGUUAGAAGCCAUUGCAUCCCUCAGAUUAGAUGGUCAGUCAAGGAGUGGUCUGUGUUAUGAAGACAAAAGUGGCAAAGAUUUUGUGUAACUGCUUUUGGUAACUGAAAGUUGUAGGCGGAAUUACUGGCUGGGAUGUCCCUGUGAGGUGUCAAUGAGAAAAAAACGUGGCUUAUACAGAAACUAUGGUGUGAAAAAACCAUGGAAACGGUAUCAUCUAAGCCUGCCAGGUGGUGAGAACAGGCUUUCUUCCCCCUAUCUUCCAUUAUCACAGCUCCUGUGCAGUGGGAAGAAAGCAAGGAUUGGGCAGCUGGAUGACAGCUGGGUGUGAAGUAGCUCAGUUCUGCCAAGAAAGGAAAGGCCUCCUUGAUGAGGCCAUUGCUUUUGCACCAAAAAUAUGAUUUGGGGCAAUGCCCAGAGGAUCAUGACUGCUUUUCCAGCAGUAGAGUGAGGGUGUGUGAUUGCACAGCUCGGGGAUGCUUAGUAUCCUCUCUGAACUUGCCAACCAUGCAGGCUGGCUUAUCUGAAACUUAUAGAAACAAGUGCUGAAAGAGGCAAAACUCAUCUGAAUAUCCCGGCUGUUACUAGAUGAGCAGGAAGGAUUCCGUUGCUCAUUUGCACAGUCCUCCUAACAGAGUGCAUAAUCAAGAAACCUGAGGAUCUCCUAGCCCAUCCAUUGAAAAAGAGCUCCCGACCCCCUCAUUAAAGUGAUGGAAUGAGAGCUGCAAUCAAUUACAGAAGUGCUAAAGGCGAUGAAAAUUAGUUCCACUGGGAAUUUGCCUACAAAUUUUCUUUCGCCUGCAAAAAUCAGAUUACGACAUAAAAUCCCUGAGGAGAGAGGGGAAUGAAUUGGAAGACCAAGGCAUUCAUUGUAUGGAAAAGAAACAAUUAAAAAUGAAAUAAUGAAGGGACAGCUCUCGUCACACACAUGACAUCUAACCAGAUACAUAGGAGAUGGGAAGGACAUGUAUAGGGCUGAAGAUGUGCCAGAUGAGAUGCCAAGUUCACUGAAGAAUAGGAAGGCACGUUAGAGGGUGGACAACAAAAGCGCAAGGAAAUGUCUACAAGAAGAAAUGUAAUUUAAGGAGGAAAAUAAAAUAGAUUAAUUUGCUUACAGAACCAAUCAAGACUCAGUCAAAUCACCAAGAGCAGACACUGAUGAGGUGGAUCAAGAUGUCACCACUGCCAUACGGAAAAGAAUUUCUACUCACACGGAUUUUUAUAAGUGAAAUGUAGUUUCUCAUUUUCCACAUUAUGGUGGAUAAAUAUUUUUGUAUUUGAGUAUGGGAAAAGAAAUGGUACUGACUGCAAGCUCUAUUCCAUCUUCAUUUGUUCCUCAGUGGACGCAUGACUUUCUCCAGCGUUCAGUAAAUAAUGACUUUGGAAGGAUUUCUCCUAACCUCUAUAAAAUUAUAGAGCCUCUUUCUAUAACUUAUCAGUGCUAGUCUUGUGCAAGGCAAUAUAUCCAGGGUUAAGCCAACGACUCUAGCUUGAAUAAAAAUGUUCUGCUACGUUUGUUCCUCUAGAUAUCUGUAAGAUACUAAUUUCAAAGUGUUUAAAAAGGAUGAGUGGGAUGUGAGGAAAAAGGUUUGUGGAGACAGAAGGAAGAAAGGCACUUAGGAAGAUAGAAAAGCUGUUAAAGAUCUCAAUUUCUCUGCUUGAAGUCAAAAUUUGAAAAGAUGAUUGAUCUUAAAUUAUUUCACAUUAGAUUUAAUUUCUGAUUAAUCUGUUAUUUGAUAUCAAUGCCCAGCAAAAACAAUUAUAUUAGUUCUUUUGAGUGAUACUACAAAAUAAACUUUUCCAUUUGACUUGAAGGAGUUAAAUGGUAUGUUUUCAGUGGAAGACACUAUAUUAAAGUGCUGACAGAUGUCCAGGUCCACUUUCCUCCAUAAUUAAAGCACUACUUGAAUAAAACCUGAAAGGUUGUUGCCAGAUCUCUUCUUUCAACCUUCUUUCAUUACAUUUGAGGUUCAAGUUUUGUAGAAAGCUUGGCAGAAACUUGAGAACCACAGUUAAAUCCAGACUGUAUUUGACAAAUAUAAAGGAGUAUGGCUGACAAUUACAACCAAGCGCAAGUUGAGUUUUAUGACUUCAUGUAAUGGAGGCUUUAUCCAUCCUUUGUGGUGUUCUUUGGCAGUUGGCUUCUUUCCUCCUUUCAUUUUCAGAAUUAUGAUGUCUGUAACAGUUUUAUAAAACCUGAAUAUUAUUUCUGUUGGAAUGUUGCACCCAAAGUUUUCAGCUAAUAUAUUUUGUUUUUCAUUUAUCUGCUCUCUCAAAAGUGAAAAACUUCAGCUGUGUUUACUUCAAAACUUCAGUCUUGAGGUAAAAUCUGAGUCACUUUUUCGUGGAUGCUCAUUCUAACAAUUCAGCUAAUCUGAUACGCUUUGUGCAUGACCGAAUUUCACAGGCUCCUGCAGAAACAUCCAUCUUCUCUACAGUGAUCAGAAUCUAUUGCACUUUGCUGUAUGACCUUGUAGCAAGAUUUUUAUCAGCCAGAACUAUGUUGUUUUAUGCCUAUUACGUUAUAUGAAAUCCCUGAGUGAAUCUUACUGACCCUUGCCUCCCGUUCCAGCUCUGUCAGGAAUAGGACUUGAUCUUAUUUGGAGUUUAGGUCUGAUAGAACGUACAACUCUCACUGUAAUUUCAAGUGCUCCUAGCACUGGAAGAAGUAGGUUUGGGAAAGUAUUUCUAAGAAGAAUAGUGUGUUGUGCAUUAGCUACUACAUGUUACGUUUUUGCAUAAAGUGGAAGGUCUACUUCUUUCAGCUGAUGUGCAUAGGUGCCUAAGGUGCCCUCUCAUUCCCUGUGGAGCACAGUUGAUAUGAUGUCCCUGAAAAGCAAGGUAAUAAUCACUGAAGUCUGAUAGAAAACUCAUACUUUGUGCUGAACAGAAAAGCAACUGAGUGGUUUUGUUAGUGCUGAAAACACUAAGGAUGUGGCACAAGCAUUGUACUGUGGCAUGGUAGGAAAAGCAGCAGAAAAGCCAUCUAGAUUUUUACACAGUCAGAAAAAAAACAAGGACAGAGUAUUUGUGGGCUGUCUGAGAGUACACAACUCCGAAAUCUUCACAGCUGAGACUAGUGACUGUCCUUGCCUUGAUAUUAAGUGAACGCAGGAUAUCUACAGUAUGUGUUUACCUCUGUGUAACCUAUGAUUAGACUGAAGAGAGUUUGUGCUCUUCUAAGGUGAAAUUUGCCCUCAUUUGUCACAGAGGCUUAAGAAUGACGUAGGGUUGGGACUGAACCCUGUGUGUUGUGGGAAACUGUGCUGGUUGGAAACAUCUUGUUGCUGUGCCCAACACACAUUUAUUGUUGCUCUGUAUCUACAUGCUUACAAGGUGGGGAAUAGCAGGAUUUUUAAUAGUUCUGAUGAUGUGAUUUGUUCGCUAUCAGAUAUGUAUCUGCUAGAAACUGUUACAUAGUUAUUUUUAAUGCCUGUCCUUUCUUAAUGCCUUUCAAAGUAUGGGAAACGGUCUCUUCUUCCUUCUUGUUUGUAGGAACAAAAGCAACUGCCUGACAAUAGAAAUACCAACAAAGUGUUGACUUAUACAUGUUACUAAGCAGAAUAAAAUGUCUGGAUU